CCCUCAAGAUGAGAUUUCCCAUUUCUUCGGAAAGUAAGAUCCCUGAAAGAUGAUCAGGUAGAUAGGUUUGGAGUGGAAGUGUAGCGAUACAUGGAGCGGACAAAUACUAAUCGAUCGAGGACUUAACCAA
rnacentral:rRNA from 1 species